AGGCAAGUGCCUCACAUUCACUGUGUGGGUUCCGAGGAGAAAAGUAGCUAUAAGACUGUUGCAAAGAUCAAGUGACUGCUUACCGUGGUGCCUGGCAAGACACAUGUGUGAUAUAGAUAAUGGCUGGUUAUUACUCAUCAGCAAAAUGGAGGAGGAAGGUGCUAUUUGUGAAGUAGGAAGUGGGCUGUCACCAGACACAUGGACCAUCAGUUCCUUGAUCUUGAAUUUCUAGCCCCAUAACUACAGGUGCCUAUCGUAACUGUGAUCUGAGAGGCUUCACCCAGCAGCUGAUGGAAACAUAUGCGAAGACCCUCAGCCAAACUUCAGGCGGGGCUUGGGAAAUCCUGUGGAAGAGGGAGAGAAAGGUUUGAAGAAGCCAUAGAGGUCACGGACACCACAAGAAAACCUACAGAAUCAACUAAUCUGGGCCCAUAGGGGCCUGGUGAUUCACUGAGACUGAAUCACCAGGCAGAGAACCUUCAUAGAAAGGAUUUGGGCACUCUACACACAUGUAACAGAUGUGGGACCCCUAACAGCAGAAGCAGGUGUUGUCUCAGACUCCGUUGCCUGUCUGUGGAUCCCUUUUCCUUAGCUGGGCUUCCUUGCCUAGCUUCAAUAGAAGACGAACCUAGUCAUACUGCAGCUUGAUAUGCCCAGGUCAGUUGAAAUCCACAGGAGGCCUCUUCUUCUCUUCGGAAAAAGGGAGGGAGGGGAAGGUAAGAAGGAGGGUCUGGGAGGAGAGGAAGGAAGCUGUCAUCUGGAUAUAAAGUAAAUAAAUUAAUCAAUUAAAAUGUGAUAAAUUUGAGAACAGAGGUAAAACAACAAAAAAGAAACAUGUUUUAGAUUACUACGUUUACCUUAUUAUAUUAUCUUUUAUAUUACUUAUAAUAGAUCUACUAUAUUAACAAAUUACUGGUGUAUAAUUAAUAGUAACAAAUAUAUUAUUUUCUCUA
rnacentral:lncRNA from 1 species